rfam:Tetraodon nigroviridis, WGS project CAAE01000000 data, contig: CNS0BRAC, chromosome: undetermined
CAAACGGCUCUUUUCAGAGCCCCCACAAGCUACAAAGAGCUGGUCU